CCUACGGGGAGCAGCAGUCGAGAAUCAUUCACAAUGGGGGAAACCCUGAUGGAGCGACGCCGCGUGGGGGAAUGAAGGUCUUCGGAUUGUAAACCCCUGUCAUGUGGGAGCAAAUUAAAAAGAUAGUACCACAAGAGGAAGAGACGGCUAACCCUGUGCCCGCAGCCGCGGUAAUACAGAGGUCUCAAGCGUUGUUCGGAAUCACUGGGCGUAAGGCGUGCGUAGGCUGUUUCGUAAGUCGUGUGUGAAAGGCGCGGGCUCAACCCGCGGACGGAAUAUGAUACUGCGAGACUAGAGUAAUGGAGGGGGAACCGGAAUUCUCGGUGUAGCAGUGAAAUGCGUAGAUAUCGAGAGGAACACUCGUGGCGAAGGCGGGUUCCUGGACAUUAACUGACGCUGAGGCACGAAGGCCAGGGGAGCGAAAGGGAUUAGAUACCCUAGUAGUC
rnacentral:rRNA from 1 species